rnacentral:rRNA from 1 species
AGUCCAGACUCCUACGGGAGGCAGCAGUGGGGGAUAUUGCACAAUGGGGGGAACCCUGAUGCAGCGACGCCGCGUGGGUGAAGGAGUGCUUCGGCCUGUAAAGCCCUAUCGGCAGGGAAGAAGCAAGACGGUACCUGACUAAGAAGCCCCGGCUAACUACGUGCCAGCAGCCGCGGUAAUACGUAGGGGGCGAGCGUUAUCCGGAUUCACUGGGUGUAAAGGGAGCGUAGACGGCCAUGCAAGCCAGGGGUGAAAGCCCGGGGCCCAACCCCGGGACUGCCCUUGGAACUGCAUGGCUGGAGUGCGGGAGGGGCAGGCGGAAUUCCUGGUGUAGCGGUGAAAUGCGUAGAUAUCAGGAGGAACACCGGCGGCGAAGGCGGCCUGCUGGACCAUAACUGACGUUGAGGCUCGAGAGCGUGGGGAGCAAACAGGAUUAGAUACCCUUGUA